CGAUUGCGAAGNCAGCUUGCUGGACUGUAACUGACGCUGAGGCACGAAAGCGUGGGGAUCAAACAGGAUUAGAUACCCUGGUANNCCACGCCGUAAACGAUGAAUGCUAGCUGUNAGCGAUAUACUGUNAGCGGCACAGAGAAAUCGUUAAGCAUUCCACCUGGGGAGUACGCCGGCAACGGUGAAACUCAAAGGAAUUGACGGGGGCCCGCACAAGCGGAGGAACAUGUGGUUUAAUUCGAUGAUACGCGAGGAACCUUACCUGGGCUUAAAUUGCAGUGGAAUAACGUGGAAACAUGUUAGCCUUCGGGCCGCUGUGAAGGUGCUGCAUGGUUGUCGUCAGCUCGUGCCGUGAGGUGUCGGCUUAAGUGCCAUAACGAGCGCAACCCUCAUCGAUAGUUACUAACAGGUUAAGCUGAGGACUCUAUCGAGACUGCCGACGUAAGUCGUGAGGAAGGUGGGGAUGACGUCAAAUCAGCACGGCCCUUACGUCCAGGGCUACACACGUGUUACAAUGGGGGGUACAAAGGGCAGCUACCUGGCGACAGGAUGCUAAUCUCAAAAACCUCUCUCAGUUCGGAUUGGAGUCUGCAACCCGACUCCAUGAAGCUGGAUUCGCUAGUAAUCGCGCAUCAGCCACGGCGCGGUGAAUACGUUCCCGGGCCUUGUACACACCGCCCGUCAAGCCAUGGGAGCCGGGGGGACCUGAAGUAUGCAACCGUAAGGAGCGUCCUAGGGUAAAACUGGUGACUGGGGCU
rnacentral:rRNA from 1 species